AGGUGAUCGGUCUUGACCGUGACACAGGCGAGUAACGACUAACAUAUUCUGUUCCCGCUCGGACAGCGCCACCGACGACCAUAGACUGUGUCGUCGUAUAGAUGGGCAACUGCAAGUCGCCACACACUCCCCCCCGAGUGCUAACGCUGGAGAGAAAGAAAAAAUAAUUUGGUAUGACACUGUGUGUCUAUCACAAAUAAUCGGCGCUGCCGAAUAUCACAAAGAAUAUUGCAGGAAUACAUGUAAUACCGCUGCUUAGAACUAGAGUGUAUACGCAGGAUGUAUCACAGAAAUUACAGACUGUUAUAAUUUGACAAUACCGCUACUUAUAGACUAACGCAUACGCAGGAUGUAUCGC